AUCGUUUUUACAAAGCAGUUGAAAAUAAAAAAAAAGAAUAGCAAGAAACCCCCAUCUGCUGUCUAGCAUCAGUAAUCCUCAUUGGUUUGUUUACCAUUUAUAAGGAAAACAUCAUACAGAGCAGCUUGUCACAGAGACUCUCCCGCAGUAACGAGCUUCUGGUGCAAACCCAACACACCUGUCAGUUCAUCCAGGUUUCCUUAAAGUCCCUCCUUCUAAAAUUGAACCUGUCUGCCAAUGAGAAUAUCCUUCCCUCCUAUAUAUACCUUCCAGACAAACUGUAAAUCCCAUUACACGUCUAAGGUUGGUGAAUCCCCUCAUUUUAAGCAGGUAAACAGAGGUCUAGACAUUGAUUUGUUUGAGGCCAGACUACUGCACGGCCAGCCAUAGAACCCAGCUUUCACAACCACAAGCGAUCAUCCUGGCUGAAAACUGCUUCCUCACUAAGGAGAAAAUAAAGUGACUAACUAUACUGACAUUGUUUCUUCCUUCAUCCUCUCUAAGAGGAUCAGAUAUUUUUCCCCGUGUAGCAUCCGCUGCUGUUAAUACUCAGAAAUGGUGUAAAUCUGUGUUAACACCCACGCUCAAACAAAUCCCAAAGGAGUCAGUGUGACAUGCAAACUGUAGGCAGGCAGACAGUGGGUAUGCUGAAGGGACCCCAGGCAGGUUAGCCUCAUCCACCCGCAGAGGGACCCCUGCGGCCCGGUCUCCAGGAACAAGUUCCACCUCCUUCUCCAGACAGGGGGUUAUAGCCACCUCCUCGCAAGGGCUUCUUGUUUGGUUUAGAUUUCGGGACUGCUGAUGAGGUGGAGGCACCAGAUUCUGCUUCUUGCUGACUCAGUUUCAGGUUUCCUUUAUAACUUUUUCCUUCUUGCAUGCUUUCCCACAUUUCUAUCUUCUGCCUUCGCUUCUGUUCUUCAAGCUGUCUUUGUUUUUCUUUGUAUCUUUCUGCUUGUGCAUUCAACUCCUCUUGCAUCCUCAGGCGAGACGCCAACAAAGCUUCUUGUCUUCUUACCACCAUGUCGGGCUCGACAGCUGCGCCAGUUGCUCCUUGCUGGCUGCUGGGCCUCAUCCUCAAGUAUGGGGAUAUCUUCUGGACGAUGAGAUAGAUGGCGACGCAGGCCAGGAGGAUGUACCAGCCAUAGCUCGACAGCAGGGCGCCCACCGUGUGCUGCAGCAGCUCGAGGCCCUCUCGUUCCAGGGCCGGUUUCCCGGGGCCGGGCCCGGCCCCGCCGCGGUCCCCGAGCUCCAUGGCCCCGCUGCCGCCUCACGUCCGGGAGCCGCCCCGUCACC
rnacentral:lncRNA from 1 species